UCUUAAACAAUGCAAAAUUGAGAAAUGUCUCUGGUGUGCAAUGUAUGUGGCUGUUACCCUCCUUGUGCCACUAAAGUUCAUAAAUACAAUGUAAAGGAAAUGUCCUUUCAUCUAAUAUUAACAAUCAGAAUCUGGAAAAAAGACCAUUGACCUUAACAUGAACAGAAUUCAAGUGAGUAAUAAUUUCCUCCUAUUUUAAAAAAGCUUUCAAUAAAUUUAUUGUUUUUAGUUUUCAUAGGGCUUGGCUGGUGUGCUGGGAACACUGCUAUUUGCUUAUCAAGCUUCUGCCCAUAUAUAUUCUGAAUUAAUAAAAAGCUCUCUAGCCUGGUGCUGGCUGUGAUAGGGCUAUGCUCAUACACGCUCUGCUGAAGGAUUAUUCCAGCUGUUAGCCGAGGCCAGCUGCAGGAGUCCCUCUGUCCCCUCUGGAUUCCUGCUGGGACAGCUGCACAUCCAGCUGCGCUUCCAGGUGAGAGUGGGGACCUGCUGCCCUGCUUUGCCCCAACCCCCGCGGGUUCUUUGUGAGUGCUGCCCGAGCCUGGCAGCGCGGAUGCCGCUCCCGAGAUGCGGGCAAUGCUGGGCAGGGACAGACGAUGGCACUCCAGCAUCGCUUUCCUCUCCUGCUGCCACGGCCGCAUCUGCAGGCGCGGCUCGCUCCCACAGCUCUGACCCCCUGACUCCCAGCUUCACUUUACUACGGGUUUGGCACCCGUUCUCUCUUGCAUUGGCGUGAACCUAAGCAGGUCCC
rnacentral:lncRNA from 1 species